AACGGCUCCCUACGUGGCGCUAUCUCGAGGAACUCCCCCAGGUCGGAAACGAAGCAAGGGUACUCGGGCUCUAGCGGGUACGUAGGGAGUCUUUCUU
rfam:Leucobacter sp. 7(1) genome assembly, contig: Scaffold1